UGUGCAAAGGUAGCAUAAUCAAUUGGCUUGUAAUUUAAGUCUGGUAUGAAUGUAGUUUUAGGUUAAAGCUGUCUCUUUAUGUUAAUUGAAAUUUACUUGGCCGGUGAAAAAACCGGCAGUAAAAUAAUAGACGAGAAGACCCUAGAAAUUUUAUGAAAGGUAUAGUAAUAUAUAUUGGAUUUUGUUGGGGCGACAGAGUAACAGUUAACUUACUCUAUUUAAUGUGAAUUAAUUAUGAAAAUGUAAAUUACUCUAGGGAUAACAGCAUAAUUCUAUUAGUGUUUGUGACCUCGAUGUUGGACUAGGAAAGAUAAUAUUCAGAAGAUAUUAUUAUAGGCUCUGUUCGCGCC
rnacentral:rRNA from 1 species